rnacentral:rRNA from 1 species
GACGAACCGUGCGAACGUUAUUCGGAAUCACUGGGCUUAAAGCGUGUGUAGGCGGAAUGGUAAGUACCUUGUGAAAUCCCACGGCUCAACCGUGGAACUGCUGGGUAUACUGCUUUUCUUGAGCCACUUAGGGGCUGUCGGAACAAACGGUGGAGCGGUGAAAUGCGUAGAUAUCGCUUGGAACGCCAAAGGUGAAAACAGGGUUGCUGGGGUUGUGCCGACGCUGGAGACACGAAAGCCAGGGGAGCAAACGGG